AGAAAAUUGUCACCAUUAUUACCAAUAAUCGGACAACAAAGGGCAUCUAUGGAUUUACAAACAAACUGAGUUUUGCAGAAAUUAGAGCUUACCACCACCUUAGCACCGGAUUGCAAAUCAAAUAUACAAAUGUAAGCUGGCGACAUAUGAGGUGCCAUAGAAAAUAUGUUGCAGUAGAAGCAUCCAUAGGGAAAAGGGUUCCUCAAAAGGAGAACAAGGGAAAGACUGUACUUUUCCCUUUUGAAACUAGAUGAAGUAUUCUGACUUGAUCUCAAUUACCAGCUAGUUAUCAGUAUCCUUUACACCAUCCCAGAAGGAUUCGGGUCCGCUCCCAAUAGCUUGUCCAUCUUUUAACAUGAGCAAGACACCUCAUUAAUGAGGUUAUCUCAAGACUACUAUGCAGCCACGUCCUGAGUUCUAGCAGAUAAAUGGAACGACGACUACGUUUUGGGGGUACCACAAAAUCAAAUUUUACCCCACCGCAAAGGGCCCACUAGCUCUCUCUCUCACUAUAGUUUAUCAAGCUGAACCAGUUGAAUA